GAACUCUGAGACAGGUGCUGCAUGGCUGUCGUCAGCUAGAGGAGGGAAAUGUUGGGUUAAGUCCCGCAACGAGCGCAACCCUUAUCCUAAUGUUGCCAGCGGUUCGGCCGGGAACUCAAAGGAGACUGCCAGUGAUAAACUGGAGGAAGGUGGGGAUGACGUCAAGUCAUCAUGGCCCUUACGAGUAGGGCUACACACGUGCUACAAUGGCGUAUACAAAGAGAAGCGACCUCGCGAGAGCAAGCGGACCUCAUAAAGUACGUCGUAGUCCGGAUUGGAGUCUGCAACUCGACUCCAUGAAGUCGGAAUCGCUAGUAAUCGUAGAUCAGAAUGCUACGGU
rnacentral:rRNA from 1 species